rnacentral:pre_miRNA from 1 species
GCUGUACUUGAAGCAAUUUUUUUUAUAUCUAUUGUAAAAAAAAAGUUGCAUCUUGAACAGCAG